CUCUGCUCUAAUGUAAAUCAUGUCCUCAAAAGUUUGGUGAAAAUGAAAAGCGCGGAAAACUAAUCUGGAAUGAAAUCUCCACUGGACUCUUUUCAAUUAUAAAAUCCUUUGUAGAAAAUAAAGGGCAUUUAAAUAGAGCUUAAUGUGAUACUAGAAUAACUAUAAUAACUCCAGCAUGCCAGCUAGGUGUCUGGAAGAGAAAUCGUUAAAUGGAAAUAUUAAUUUUUCAAUUAUUUAAUUUGAAUCUCAGUCUUAAUUCCUCUUCCACCUUUGGAAUGAUCUAAAAGGUUUUGUUUUUCAAAUCUUGUUUCAGACAUCCUCAUUCCCUCUUAAACAUGUCAUUUCGGAGGCCGUUUGGGAGUUAAAAGUUCUAGGGGACAUGUUAAUGACAUGGUAUAUGGCAUCAGUUGGAAAACUCAUCAUUUGAAAAAUGAGUCUGGCAAGGAUGGCCAAUCAGAGGCCAGUCAAGGCUGGUGUUGGGGGAAACACAGAGGCCAGUCACUGCAGGCCUUGCACAAGGUAAAUACAUCCACCCAGCCUAUUGGCAGCCUGCGGUUAAACCAGGGCCAAUACUGGGUGAUUUAAAUGACAUGAUACUGAUUGGAACCUUUUAAAGUGCAGUAGUUAAAUGAAAAGCCUGUUGGAGUGGGAGACACAUCAUCCAAUCCAAUCCCACUCAUUGCAACAACAUCACAUACAAGAGCUAUGAGGUUUUCCUCCCAACUCUAAACUGUUUUUGUCAUACGCCAAUGUUAAUCUCCAUGCGUAGUGCGUAGUGCGUAGUACGUAGUGCGUAGUGCGUAGUACGUAGUGCGUAGUGCUGCGUAGUACGUAGUGCGUAAUGCGUAGUGCAUAGUACGUAGUACGUAGUGCGUAGUACGUAGUACGUAGUGCGUAGAGCGUAGUACGUAGUGCGUAGUACGUAGUGCGUAGUACGUAGUACGUAGUAUAAUAAAUACAACCACUCAGUCCCAAAGUGUUCCCUUCUGAACGUUUAUUGGCCUAUUUCAAACUCCAUUGUAAAAUAUACUUGAUAAAGAAUCAGUACGUUCCAAAACCAAUGACUGGCCGUUACAGCACAUCCUUCAGGAAGUGAUCAGACAUCAACUCCGUGUUCAGGGAGUCAUUGAGGCACGUACUGACUUCCCUGAACACCCAGUAGGUGCGUUCACAGAGCAUCUCAGAGUUGAGGUGGUUAUCUAGGAUCAGGCCCCCCUCAUCCCUCUUCUUGUUCAUUAUGAUGUUAACACUGAUCCUGGAUGUGGUCUCUUUUUCUGAAUACUGGCCCAGUAGCAGUGUCAGGAUACUCCGGUCUCUCUUUCUGAAUACUGGCCCAGUAGCAGUGUCAGGAAACUCCGGUCUCUCUUUCUGAAUACUGGCCCAGGAGCAGUGUUAGGAAACUCCGGUCUCUCUUUCUGAAUACUGGCCCAGUAGCAGUGUCAGGAAUCUCCGGUCUCUCUUUCUGAAUACUGGCCCAGUAGCAGUGUCAGGAAACUCCGGUCUCUCUUUCUGAAUACUGGCCCAGUAGCAGUGUCAGGAAACUCCGGUCUCUCUUUCUGAAUACUGGCCCAGGAGCAGUGUUAGGAAACUCCGGUCUCUCUUUCUGAAUACUGGCCCAGUAGCAGUGUCAGGAAUCUCCGGUCUCUCUUUCUGAAUACUGGCCCAGGAGCAGUGUCAGGAAACUCUGGUCUCUCUUUCUGAAUACUGGCCCAGUAGCAGUGUCAGGAAACUCCGGUCUCUCUUUCUGAAUACUGGCCCAGUAGCAGUGUCAGGAAACUCCGGUCUCUCUUUCUCCCAACCCUAACCCACCAGGAUACAGGCCAAAUUAUCUGACCCCAACCAUAACCCACCAAGAUACAGGUCAACAUAUCUGACCCCAACCCACCAGGAUACAGGCCAACAUAUCUGACCCCAACCAUAACCCACCAGGAUACAGGUCAACAUAUCUGACCCCAACCCACCAGGAUACAGGCCAACAUAUCUGACCCCAACCCACCAGGAUACAGGCCAACAUAUCUGACCCCAACCCUAACCCACCAGGAUACAGGUCAACAUAUCUGACCCCAACCAUAACCCACCAGGAUACAGGCCAACAUAUCUGACCCCAACCCACCAGGAUACAGGUCAACAUAUCUGACCCCAACCCUAACCCACCAGGAUACAGGUCAACAUAUCUGACCCCAACCCACCAGGAUACAGGCCAACAUAUCUGACCCUAACCCACCAGGAUACAGGUCAACAUAUCUGACCCCAACCCUAACCCACCAAGAUACAGGUCAACAUAUCUGACCCCAACCCUAACCCACCAUGAUACAGGUCAACAUAUCUGACCCUAACCCACCAGGAUACAGGUCAACAUAUCUGACCCCAACCCACCAGGAUACAGGUCAACAUAUCUGACCCCAACCCUAACCCACCAGGAUACAGGCCAACAUAUCUGACCCCAACCCUAACCCACCAGGAUACAGGUCAACAUAUCUGACCCCAACCCACCAGGAUACAGGCCAACAUAUCUGACCCCAACCCACCAGGAUACAGGCCAACAUAUCUGACCCCAACCCACCAGGAUACAGGCCAACAUAUCUGACCCCAACCCACCAGGAUACAGGUCAACAUAUCUGACCCCAACCCACCAGGAUACAGGCCAACAUAUCUGACCCCAACCCACCAGGAUACAGGUCAACAUAUCUGACCCCAACCAUAACCCACCAGGAUACAGGUCAACAUAUCUGACCCCAACCAUAACCCACCAGGAUACAGGUCAACAUUUCUGACCCCAACCCACCAAGAUACAGGUCAACAUAUCUGACCCCAACCCUAACCCACCAGGAUACAGGCCAACAUAUCUGACCCCAACCAUAACCCACCAGGAUACAGGCCAACAUAUCUGACCCCAACCCUAACCCACCAGGAUACAGGCCAACAUAUCUGACCCCAACCAUAACCCACCAGGAUACAGGCCAACAUAUCUGACCCCAACCAUAACCCACCAGGAUACAGGCCAACAUAUCUGACCCCAACCAUAACCCACCAGGAUACAGGCCAACAUAUCUGACCCCAACCCACCAGGAUACAGGUCAACAUAUCUGACCCCAACCCACCAGGAUACAGGCCAACAUAUCUGACCCCAACCCACCAGGAUACAGGUCAACAUAUCUGACCCCAACCCACCAGGAUACAGGCCAACAUAUCUGACCCCAACCCACCAGGAUACAGGCCAACAUAUCUGACCCCAACCCUAACCCACCAGGAUACAGGUCAACAUAUCUGACCCCAACCAUAACCCACCAGGAUACAGGUCAACAUAUCUGACCCCAACCCUAACCCACCAGGAUACAGGCCAACAUAUCUGACCCCAACCAUAACCCACCAGGAUACAGGUCAACAUAUCUGACCCCAACCAUAACCCACCAGGAUACAGGUCAACAUAUCUGACCCCAACCCACCAGGAUACAGGCCAACAUAUCUGACCCCAACCCACCAGGAUACAGGCCAACAUAUCUGACCCCAACCCACCAGGAUACAGGUCAACAUAUCUGACCCCAACCCACCAGGAUACAGGUCAACAUAUCUGACCCCAACCCACCAGGAUACAGGCCAACAUAUCUGACCCCAACCCUAACCCACCAGGAUACAGGUCAACAUAUCUGACCCUAACCCACCAGGAUACAGGUCAACAUAUCUGACCCCAACCCACCAGGAUACAGGUCAACAUAUCUGACCCUAACCCACCAGGAUACAGGUCAACAUAUCUGACCCUAACCCACCAUCAUACAGGCCAACAUAUCUGACCCCAACCAUAACCCACCAGGAUACAGGCCAACAUAUCUGACCCCAACCCCAACCCACCAGGAUACAGGUCAACAUAUCUGACCCCAACCCACCAAGAUACAGGCCAACAUAUCUGACCCCAACCCUAACCCACCAGGAUACAGGCCAACAUAUCUGACCCCAACCAUAACCCACCAGGAUACAGGUCAACAUAUCUGACCCCAACCAUAACCCACCAGGAUACAGGCCAACAUAUCUGACCCCAACCCACCAGGAUACAGGCCAACAUAUCUGACCCCAACCCUAACCCACCAGGAUACAGGCCAACAUAUCUGACCCCAACCCACCAAGAUACAGGCCAACAUAUCUGACCCCAACCAUAACCCACCAAGAUACAGGCCAACAUAUCUGACCCCAACCCACCAGGAUACAGGUCAACAUAUCUGACCCCAACCCACCAGGAUACAGGUCAACAUAUCUGACCCCAACCCUAACCCACCAAGAUACAGGUCAACAUAUCUGACCCCAACCCUAACCCACCAAGAUACAGGUCAACAUAUCUGACCCCAACCCACCAGGAUACAGGUCAACAUAUCUGACCCUAACCCACCAGGAUACAGGUCAACAUAUCUGACCCUAACCCACCAGGAUACAGGUCAACAUAUCUGACCCCAACCCACCAGGAUACAGGCCAACAUAUCUGACCCCAACCCACCAGGAUACAGGUCAACAUAUCUGACCCCAACCCACCAGGAUACAGGUCAACAUAUCUGACCCCAACCCACCAGGAUACAGGCCAACAUAUCUGACCCCAACCCUAACCCACCAGGAUACAGGUCAACAUAUCUGACCCUAACCCACCAGGAUACAGGUCAACAUAUCUGACCCCAACCCUAACCCACCAGGAUACAGGUCAACAUAUCUGACCCUAACCCACCAGGAUACAGGCCAACAUAUCUGACCCCAACCAUAACCCACCAGGAUACAGGUCAACAUAUCUGACCCCAACCCACCAGGAUACAGGCCAACAUAUCUGACCCCAACCCACCAAGAUACAGGCCAACAUAUCUGACCCUAACCCACCAGGAUACAGGUCAACAUAUCUGACCCCAACCAUAACCCACCAGGAUACAGGUCAACAUAUCUGACCCCAACCCACCAGGAUACAGGCCAACAUAUCUGACCCCAACCCACCAAGAUACAGGCCAACAUAUCUGACCCUAACCCACCAGGAUACAGGUCAACAUAUCUGACCCCAACCCACCAGGAUACAGGUCAACAUAUCUGACCCCAACCCACCAAGAUACAGGCCAACAUAUCUGACCCCAACCCUAACCCACCAGGAUACAGGCCAACAUAUCUGACCCCAACCCACCAGGAUACAGGUCAACAUAUCUGACCCCAACCCACCAGGAUACAGGUCAACAUAUCUGACCCUAACCCACCAGGAUACAGGUCAACAUAUCUGACCCCAACCCACCAGGAUACAGGUCAACAUAUCUGACCCCAACCCACCAAGAUACAGGCCAACAUAUCUGACCCCAACCCUAACCCACCAGGAUACAGGCCAACAUAUCUGACCCCAACCAUAACCCACCAGGAUACAGGUCAACAUAUCUGACCCCAACCAUAACCCACCAGGAUACAGGCCAACAUAUCUGACCCCAACCCACCAGGAUACAGGCCAACAUAUCUGACCCCAACCCUAACCCACCAGGAUACAGGUCAACAUAUCUGACCCCAACCCACCAGGAUACAGGUCAACAUAUCUGACCCCAACCCUAACCCACCAGGAUACAGGCCAACAUAUCUGACCCCAACCCUAACCCACCAGGAUACAGGCCAACAUAUCUGACCCCAACCCACCAAGAUACAGGCCAACAUAUCUGACCCCAACCAUAACCCACCAAGAUACAGGCCAACAUAUCUGACCCCAACCCACCAAGAUACAGGCCAACAUAUCUGACCCCAACCAUAACCCACCAAGAUACAGGCCAACAUAUCUGACCCCAACCCACCAAGAUACAGGUCAACAUAUCUGACCCCAACCCUAACCCACCAAGAUACAGGCCAACAUAUCUUACCCCAACCCACCAAGAUACAGGCCAACAUAUCUGACCCCAACCAUAACCCACCAGGAUACAGGCCAACAUAUCUGACCCCAACCCACCAGGAUACAGGCCAACAUAUCUGACCCCAACCCUAACCCACCAGGAUACAGGUCAACAUAUCUGACCCCAACCAUAACCCACCAGGAUACAGGUCAACAUUUCUGACCCCAACCCACCAAGAUACAGGUCAACAUAUCUGACCCCAACCCACCAGGAUACAGGUCAACAUAUCUGACCCCAACCCACCAGGAUACAGGUCAACAUAUCUGACCCCAACCCACCAAGAUACAGGCCAACAUAUCUGACCCUAACCCACCAGGAUACAGGUCAACAUAUCUGACCCCAACCCACCAGGAUACAGGUCAACAUAUCUGACCCCAACCCACCAGGAUACAGGUCAACAUAUCUGACCCCAACCCACCAGGAUACAGGUCAACAUAUCUGACCCCAACCCACCAGGAUACAGGUCAACAUAUCUGACCCCAACCCUAACCCACCAGGAUACAGGUCAACAUAUCUGACCCCAACCCUAACCCACCAGGAUACAGGUCAACAUAUCUGACCCCAACCAUAACCCACCAGGAUACAGGUCAACAUUUCUGACCCCAACCCACCAAGAUACAGGUCAACAUAUCUGACCCCAACCCACCAGGAUACAGGUCAACAUAUCUGACCCCAACCCACCAGGAUACAGGUCAACAUAUCUGACCCCAACCCACCAAGAUACAGGCCAACAUAUCUGACCCUAACCCACCAGGAUACAGGUCAACAUAUCUGACCCCAACCCACCAGGAUACAGGUCAACAUAUCUGACCCCAACCCACCAGGAUACAGGUCAACAUAUCUGACCCCAACCCACCAGGAUACAGGUCAACAUAUCUGACCCCAACCCACCAAGAUACAGGCCAACAUAUCUGACCCUAACCCACCAGGAUACAGGCCAACAUAUCUGACCCCAACCCACCAAGAUACAGGUCAACAUAUCUGACCCCAACCAUAACCCACCAGGAUACAGGUUAACAUAUCUGACCCCAACCCUAACCCACCAGGAUACAGGCCAACAUAUCUGACCCCAACCCACCAGGAUACAGGCCAACAUAUCUGACCCCAACCCACCAGGAUACAGGCCAACAUAUCUGACCCUAACCCACCAGGAUACAGGCCAACAUAUCUGACCCCAACCCACCAGGAUACAGGCCAACAUAUCUGACCCUAACCCACCAGGAUACAGGCCAACAUAUCUGACCCCAACCCACCAGGAUACAGGCCAACAUAUCUGACCCCAACCCACCAGGAUACAGGCCAACAUAUCUGACCCCAACCCACCAGGAUACAGGCCAACAUAUCUGACCCCAACCCACCAGGAUACAGGUCAACAUAUCUGACCCCAACCAUAACCCACCAGGAUACAGGUCAACAUAUCUGACCCCAACCAUAACCCACCAGGAUACAGGUCAACAUAUCUGACCCCAACCCUAACCCACCAGGAUACAGGUCAACAUAUCUGACCCCAACCCUAACCCACCAGGAUACAGGUCAACAUAUCUGACCCCAACCAUAACCCACCAGGAUACAGGUCAACAUAUCUGACCCCAACCCACCAGGAUACAGGUCAACAUAUCUGACCCCAACCCACCAGGAUACAGGCCAACAUAUCUGACCCCAACCCACCAGGAUACAGGUCAACAUAUCUGACCCCAACCCUAACCCACCAGGAUACAGGCCAACAUAUCUGACCCCAACCCACCAGGAUACAGGCCAACAUAUCUGACCCCAACCCACCAGGAUACAGGUCAACAUAUCUGACCCCAACCCACCAGGAUACAGGUCAUCAUAUCUGACCCCAACCCUAACCCACCAGGAUACAGGUCAACAUAUCUGACCCCAACCCACCAGGAUACAGGUCAACAUAUCUGACCCCAACCCUAACCCACCAGGAUACAGGUCAACAUAUCUGACCCCAACCAUAACCCACCAGGAUACAGGCCAACAUAUCUGACCCCAACCCACCAGGAUACAGGUCAACAUAUCUGACCCCAACCCUAACCCACCAGGAUACAGGUCAACAUAUCUGACCCCAACCCACCAGGAUACAGGCCAACAUAUCUGACCCCAACCCACCAGGAUACAGGCCAACAUAUCUGACCCCAACCAUAACCCACCAGGAUACAGGUCAACAUAUCUGACCCCAACCCACCAGGAUACAGGCCAACAUAUCUGACCCCAACCCACCAGGAUACAGGCCAACAUAUCUGACCCCAACCCACCAGGAUACAGGCCAACAUAUCUGACCCCAACCCACCAGGAUACAGGUCAACAUAUCUGACCCCAACCCACCAGGAUACAGGUCAACAUAUCUGACCCCAACCCACCAGGAUACAGGCCAACAUAUCUGACCCUAACCCACCAGGAUACAGGUCAACAUAUCUGACCCCAACCCUAACCCACCAGGAUACAGGUCAACAUAUCUGACCCCAACCCACCAGGAUACAGGUCAACAUAUCUGACCCCAACCCACCAGGAUACAGGCCAACAUAUCUGACCCCAACCCACCAGGAUACAGGUCAACAUAUCUGACCCCAACCCACCAGGAUACAGGCCAACAUAUCUGACCCUAACCCACCAGGAUACAGGCCAACAUAUCUGACCCCAACCCACCAAGAUACAGGCCAACAUAUCUGACCCCAACCCACCAGGAUACAGGCCAACAUAUCUGACCCCAACCCACCAGGAUACAGGCCAACAUAUCUGACCCCAACCCACCAGGAUACAGGUCAACAUAUCUGACCCUAACCCACCAGGAUACAGGUCAACAUAUCUGACCCCAACCCACCAGGAUACAGGCCAACAUAUCUGACCCCAACCCUAACCCACCAGGAUACAGGCCAACAUAUCUGACAUUAUCAAAGUGUUCCAGAGGAAACAUUUCCCUUUGUCACUUGAUACAAACCAUACUAGUCCUCCCACAGAGACAGACAAAAACAGACGGACGGACGGACGGACGGACGGACGGAAAGACGGACAGACGGACAGACAGACAGACAGACAGACAGACAGACAGACAGACAGACAGACAGACAGACAGACAGACAGACAGACAGACAGACAGACAGACAGACAGACAGACAAAACCUGUGAUCUAAACGUCUCUAUCUUGAAAAUUUGAAAAUAGCUUUCAAUUGUAAAAUGUCAUCGGGAGACAAUCAUGUGAAGGACUUUCUGAAACGGUGUCGGUACACUUUAAUUUAGUUUAGCCUCUCAUCUUCACACAGGCCCCUUUGAGGUGAAAAGGAAAUGGGAUUACAUUUUCUAAAGGAAUCCAGUUUUGUAAGCAUCCACAAACCUUACAGCAAAUACACGUACGAGCUUCGGCAACAGUCUCUGGGUUAACUUCCUAAAAAAAUUGGGCCAUUGCAUAUAAGACGCCUGUCUAACACGCCUCUCAAAGUGGACAUUUCACAGUGAAUUAAAAAUCAGUUUGUAUCAUAAUGAAUGAUAUAUAAAAGCUACAUGAAGCUAGUGAUGAGGACAUGUAGUGAUGUAAGUAAAGUAUCUGCAUAUAAUGUGUUAGUGUUAUUUAUGGGUUGACCUUUUAUGGUUUCUUUUAUUUAACCCCUUUGUUUGUGUAAUAUUACUGUAUUAUUUUCUGAGAUGACACAUUAUUAAGAAAUAUCUGCCUUUUACAGACUAUACAUGGCUUUUUAAGACGUAUAUAUGUCAGAAAUGUAACUUAUUUACAUUACCAACAUACAUUGUGUGUAUAUAUAUAUAUUCACAAAUAAAAUGUAAAAAGUA